CCCAACAUCAUCAAAAUGUGCUUGCGCAGAAGAGCGUGUGUGUGUGAGAGAGAAGUGAGCGCACAGCCCCGCUGCGAACCAGUAGUAAAGCUAAUAUUUACAAAAGAGAGGAGAGAGCCCAGUACAGAUCUCUUUUAUCUCAUCUAAUUAGGAAACUACUUCAGGGAAUCACUCCAAAAUCAUUAUUAGACUGUAAGCAAGUGCCAACAAGCACAAUUUCAUUCUGCAUGUCCCUUUAUAUACAGGCUUCCAACACAGAAGUAGCCCCAGCUGUGGCUGAGCUCUUAGAAGACAGAGUGGAUGUUUCUGAUUAAAGGUUCUUUUUCUCUGUA